UACAGAGGUCUCGAGCGUUGUUCGGAUUCAUUGGGCGUAAAGGGCGCGUAGGCGGCGGGGUAAGUCGGGUGUGAAAUCUCGGAGCUUAACUCCGAAACUGCAUUCGAUACUGCCGUGCUUGAGGACUGGAGAGGAGACUGGAAUUUACGGUGUAGCGGUGAAAUGCGUAGAUAUCGUAAGGAAGACCAGUGGCGAAGGCGGGUCUCUGGACAGUUCCUGACGCUGAGGCACGAAGGCCAGGGGAGCAAACGGG
rnacentral:rRNA from 1 species